rnacentral:piRNA from 1 species
CUGGAAUCAUCCUUUGAUACCUAAAAUGGGU